GGGGUUGUGACUCAGUGGUAGAGAGCUUGCCUAGCACACGCAAGAUGCUAGGUUUAAUCCUUAGCACCG
rnacentral:tRNA from 1 species